rnacentral:lncRNA from 1 species
CUGGGUCAGAAGAACUUCAGAUUGAGCCUCUUGAAACAUUUGCUCUUGGAAUUCUCCCUCUCAGGAAACUAACAGCCUGCUAUGAAGCCCAAGCCACAAAGAGAGGCCAAGGGGAAAUAAACAGAGUGUGAUUAUAUGCAAAACCUACAAGAAUGAGGACCUCCAAACUCAGUGUACAGAGUGAUUUUCUGCUGAAACAAUUGGCUUUUAAAAAAUUGUGUGACUGACCAGCAGCAGUGGCUCACAUCUGUAAUCCCAGCACUUUGGGAGGCCGAGAAAAUAAAAGAGACAUCAGUGUGUGAAUGACGACUUUCUGUUGCUGACUUGGAAGACAGAGGAAUUGGGUCAUGAGCCGAGGAAGGUGGGCAGCUUCUAAAAGGCGGAAAAGGCAGGGGAUGGCUCUGGCAGAGAAUCACUCCUGAGUACAACUUUCUGGCGGAAGCUCUAGUAAGUAUCCACAUCCAAAAUGCCUGGAGGAUCGAAAGAACUUAUCUCAAAAA